rnacentral:lncRNA from 1 species
AGUUCCUACAUUAUUUGAAGUCUAUCAGAACCGUCAUAGAAUCCUUGUAAGUCACCAACACGAACUUCUACCUAAAACCUGGAGGGGCGCAAAACAGAAAACGUGAGUGGGCAAAAACAAAGUUUUUCAAAACCAUUUCUCUUUCCAAGAGUAAUAACCCCUCAUCGUAAAACCCUUAUAGUUUCCCAUAAAAUAGUAAUACGUACGUUUGUAGAAAUCAUGCUCAAGAGUAAUGAAAACCAAGUAUAUGCCAUGUCAAGUAUCUCAGCAAUAAAAUAAGUAAGCCAGGUGAAAUAAAUCAAUAUAAAUAAUAUGUCAGCCGGAGUCACCUAACAUGACAUGUACGACUGAACCUAUAACUCAUCAAAUAUGCAUGCACACGAGUUGUAACCACCUAUUGUGGUCUGUAAGACAAGGCUGAGUGUAAAUAAGUAUGCUGAAGUACUAUGAUCACGUGAAGGCUGUGAGAUAAAUUGCGAGUCACCUACGAGUCGGAACCACCUAUUGUGGUCUAUAUGACAGGGUUGUGCACCAAACUGGGAUCCAAGGUGAGUGUGCGGUGCGGUGCGGGAUGUGAACAUCAUGUGAAAGACUGUGCCCUGACCACGGGCGGGAACACUAAUACCACAGUGCAGGAUAAUGAGCUCUAAAUGCUUCUACGUAUAAUCACAACAAUGCAUCUACUAUCAUCAAUAUAUACUCACUUGAAGCUUACCUGGGCAUCCGGAGCAUCAAACAACAGUAUGCAUAUCUAUACUAAUGUAUACUCUAAAGCAUAAUGCAAUUGACAUGGCGUUUAAAAUCGUAAAUCCAUUUAAAACAAAUUUCUGGGAAAACGCAAAGCAUAUAUACGUAUAUAUAGAAAACCAAAAGCCCACUCACUAGUAUGUAGUAGGGUCGUCCCCGAGUCUCGCCUGGCUACGCUCGUCCUCCGAAAACGUCUCACCUAUAUGUGAAACAACUAUUUUAACAUUAAUUUUAAGCACAUAACCAAAACCGUGUAAUAACUUCUCAUAUGUUGCUCAAUUGGGGUGUUUGAAUAUACCAUCAUGGCCUACUCAACACCACGAGCAUCCUCAUAUUUUUAAAAUAAUUUUCCGAUGUCCCACGCUCCUGUCAAGCUCAGGCACGUGCCUGACACACUGAUAGAAUCUCUAACGGCGUUAGGGUAUAUUCCAUUAAAUAGGAGCAUAUACCGUUAACUUUGUCUGAUGCCGUCAGUAUACUCCGUCAAAAUUGACGGAAUAUUCUCCUUCCUUCUCCGAUGGUUCGCCGGAAUCUGGAGCCAGUAGCCGUUGCGUCGCCGGUUUCUGGAAAAAUUUAAAACUUGAAUAUCUCCUUCGUUUUUCAACCAAAUUUCACAAAUUUUAAUCAAUUUGAAGCCCUGAACGAGUAGAACAUGCUCUUACCUCUUAGAGGUCCUAAAACCCAC